UUUCAAAAACGCCUCAAAUAG
rnacentral:piRNA from 1 species